rnacentral:rRNA from 1 species
AACGAACGCUGGCGGCAUGCCUAACGCAUGCAAGUCGAACGAGACCUUCGGGUCUAGUGGCGCACGGGUGCGUAACGCGUGGGAACCUGCCCUUAGGUUCGGAAUAACUCCCCGAAAGGGGUGCUAAUACCGGAUAAUGUCUUCGGACCAAAGAUUUAUCGCCUUUGGAUGGGCCCGCGUUGGAUUAGCUAGUUGGUAGGGUAAAAGCCUACCAAGGCGACGAUCCAUAGCUGGUCUGAGAGGAUGAUCAGCCACACUGGGACUGAGACACGGCCCAGACUCCUACGGGAGGCAGCAGUGGGGAAUAUUGGACAAUGGGCGAAAGCCUGAUCCUGCAAUGCCGCGUGAGUGAUGAAGGCCUUAGGGUUGUAAAGCUCUUUUACCCGGGAUGAUAAUGACAGUACCGGGAGAAUAAGCUCCGGCUAACUCCGUG